rnacentral:rRNA from 1 species
AGGGCAUACGGUGGAUGCCUUGGCACUAAGAGCCGAUGAAGGACGCGGUAAGCUGCGAAAAGCCACGGGGAACUGCAAGCAAGUCUUGAUCCGUGGAUGUCCGAAUGGGGAAACCCACCAUCCGUCAUGGGAUGGUAUCCUACGGGAGGGGAACCCGGUGAACUGAAACAUCUAAGUAGCCGGAGGAAGAGAAAUCAAACGAGAUGCCCACAGUAGCGGCGAGCGAAGAGGGCAGAGCCUAAACCAGUCAUCUUCGGAUGGUUGGGGUUACGGACCUGCAUCAACCGAGUCCUACCUAGUCGAAUUACCUGGAAAGGUAAGCCAGAGAGCGUAAGAGCCGCGUAGGUGAAAGGAAGGACGAGGGGGCAGGGAUCCAGAGUACCACGAAGCACGAGGAAUUUUGUGGGAAGUCGGGGGGACCACCCUCCAAGGCUAAACACUUCUUAGUGACCGAUAGCGCAUAGUACCGUGAGGGAAAGGUGAAAAGAACCGCGGGAGCGGAGUGAAAGAGAACCUGAAACCGUAUGUCUACAAGCAGUCGGAGCGCAAGCGACGGCGUGCCUAUUGAAGAAUGAGCCAACGAGUUACGGGCACCAGCGAGGUUAAGCAGGAAAUGCGGAGCCGGAGCGAAAGCGAGUCUAAACAGGGCGAAUAGUUGGUGUUCGUAGACCCGAAACUGUAGUGAUCUACCCAUGAUCAGGUUGAAGCGCAGGUAAAAAUGCGUGGAGGACCGAACCGGUGAGCGUUGAAAAGCUUUCGGAUGAAUCGUGGGUAGCGGUGAAAUUCCAAUCGAACGCAGAGAUAGCUGGUUCUCCUCGAAAUAGCUUUAGGGCUAGCCUCAAGCAGUAAGCAUAGGCGGUAGAGCACUGAUCGGGAUAGGGUCCGUAAAGGAUACCGAACCCUGUCAAACUACGAAUGGUUAUGCUGCAGAGCUUGGGAGUCAGACUACGAGAGAUAAGUCCCGUUGUCAAAAGGGAAACAGCCCAGACCGUCAGCUAAGGUCCCCAAUGCCAUACUAAGUGGAAAAGGAUGUGGGGUCUCAUAAACAACCAGGAUGUUGGCUCAGAAGCAGCCACCAUUUAAAGAGUGCGUAAUAGCUCACUGGUCGAGAGGCCCUGCGCCGAAGAUUCCCGGGGCUAAAGUAUGGAACCGAAGCUACGGAUGCGGUACUUGUACCGCGUGGUAGAGGAGCGUUCCCAUUGGGUUGAAGUCGUCCUGGAAGGGACGGUGGACUGGUGGGAAGUGAGAAUGUUGGCAUGAGUAGCGAAAAGAUAGGUGAGAAUCCUAUCCACCGAAAGCAUAAGGAUUCCUGAGCAACGAUCGUCGUCUCAGGGUAAGUCGGGACCUAAUCCGAGGCAUGGAGCGUAGGAGAUGGACAACUGGUUGAUAUUCCAGUACCGGCAGCAAUCGUUUGAACGAUGGAGUGACGCAGGAAGGCAGGUCCGCGCGAGAAUGGUAGAUCGCGUACAAGCGUGCAGGCUGGUGCACAGGCAAAUCCGUGUACUGAGGCUGAGGCGUGAUGUGGAGGGAACUUGUUCCCGAAGGGAUUGAGCCUACGCUGCCGAGAAAAGCUUCUAGUGAGAAAGCUGCCGCCCGUACCGUAAACCGACACAGGUAUGCGGGGAGAGAAUCCUAAGGUGCGCGGGAGAACCCUCGUUAAGGAACUCGGCAAAAUGUACCCGUAACUUCGGGAUAAGGGUAGCCACAGUGGUGAAGGGACUUGCUCCUGGAGCCUAGUGUGGUCGCAGAGAAGAGGCCCAAGCGACUGUUAACCAGAAACACAGGUGCCUGCGAAAGAGAAAUCUGAUGUAUAGGUGCUGACACCUGCCCAGUGCUGGAAGGUUAAAGAAGGAUGUCCGGGUUCGACCCAAAGCAUUUGACUGAAGCCCCAGUGAACGGCGGCCGUAACUAUAACGGUCCUAAGGUAGCGAAAUUCCUUGUCGGGUAAGUUCCGACCCGCACGAAAGGUGUAACGAUUUGGGCACUGUCUCAACGAGGGACCCGGUGAAAUUGAAAUACCUGUGAAGAUGCAGGUUACCCGCGACUGGACAGAAAGACCCCAUGGAGCUUUACUGUAACCUAAUAUUGGGUUCUGAUAUUCGACGCACAGGAUAGGUGGGAGGCUUGGAGCAUGGUCCUCUGGGAUCAUGGGAGCCGCCGUUGGGAUACCACCCUUCGAAUAUCGGGAUUCUAACCGCAGGAGCAACGAUCCUCGGGACAGUGUUAGGCGGGCAGUUUGACUGGGGCGGUCGCCUCCUAAAGAG